rnacentral:rRNA from 1 species
UGCCAGCCGCCGCGGUAAUACGGAGGGUGCGAGCGUUAAUCGGAAUUACUGGGCGUAAAGCGUGCGUAGGCGGAUAGUUAAGCGAGAUGUGAAAUCCCGGGGCUCAACCUCGGAACUGCAUUUCGAACUGGCUAUCUAGAGUAUUGUAGAGGGUGGUGGAAUUUCCAGUGUAGCGGUGAAAUGCGUAGAUAUGUGGAGGAAUACCGGUGGCGAAGGCGGCCUCCUGGCUCGACACUGACGCUGAGGUGCGAAAGCGUGGGGAGCAAACAGGAUUAGAUA